rnacentral:lncRNA from 1 species
AGAUGCACAUGGGCCACAUACUAAAGUGAAAAAGCUGUUGUGAAAAAUGUUUAUGUGGCAAGUGACAAUGACUUACUUAUCCAUAACUUGGAAAAAUGUUUUUCUUUGUCUUUAUUAUUGUGGCAUCAAUAUAAUCCACAAUAGUAUACACAGAAUGUACAAACCAUUAGGAACACCUUCCAAAUAUAAUGUUGCACCCCCUUUUGCCCUCAGAACAGCCUAAAUUCUUUGAGGCAUGGACUCAACAAGGUGUUGAAAGCAUUCCAUAGGGACGCUGGCCCAUGUUGACUCCAAUGCUUCUCCCAGUUGUGUCAAGUUGGCUGGAUGUUGUUUGGGUGGUGGACCAUUCUUGAUAAAUACGGGAAACUGUUGAGCAUGAAAAACCCAGUAGCGUUGUAGUUCUUGAUACACUCAAACCGGUGCACUCGGAGAGCGCUGAGAGUCUGGAAGCAUGUUCAGGGAGUGAGUGUUUUAAUAAAUAAAAGAAACAAUGAACACAAACAACGUACUGACAUGAAAACAGAAUCAAUAACGCCUGAGGAAGGAACCAGGAGGAGUGACAGAUACAGGGAAGAUAUUCAAGGAGGUGAUGGAGUCCAGGUGAGUGUCAUAAGGCGCAGGUGCGCUUGACGAUGGCGACAGGUGUGCGGGAUAAUUAGCAGCCUGAUGACCUAGAGGUCAGAGAGGGAGUAUAAUCAGCAGCCUGAUGACCUAGAGGUCAGAGAGGGAGUAUAAUCAGCAGCCUGAUGACCUAGAGGUCAGAGGGAGUAUAAUCAGCAGCCUGAUGACCUAGAGGAAGGAGAGGGAGGAUAAUCAGCAGCCUGAUGACCUAGAGGAAGGAGAGGGAGUAUAAUCAGCAGCCUGAUGACCUAGAGGAAGGAGAGGGAGUAUAAUCAGCAGCCUGAUGACCUAGAGGUCAGAGAGGGAGGAUAAUCAGCAGCCUGAUGACCUAGAGGUCAGAGAGGGAGUAUAAUAAGCAGCCUGAUGACCUAGAGGUCGGAGAGGGAGUAGAAUCAGCAGCCUGAUGACCUAGAGGUCAGAGAGGGAGUAUAAUCAGCAGCCUGAUGACCUAGAGGCAGGAGAGGGAGUAUAAUCAGCAGCCUGAUGACCUAGAGGAAGGAGAGGGAGUAUAAUCAGCAGCCUGAUGACCUAGAGGAAGGAGAGGGAGUAUAAUCAGCAGCCUGAUGACCUAGAGGAAGGAGAGGGAGUAUAAUCAGCAGCCUGAUGACCU